AGGAUCAUUAGUAUUCAAUAUACAAUUUUAAACCACUCUGUGUAUCUUUCCUGUUGCUUCCGUGAGGCGUCCGGUUCAUUGUGACCGGCCAACUGCAAAGGUUAUCCCGAGUUCACCUUUGGUGGCCUUGUACCAACCUGAGCGGUUAGUAUUCACGGAAGGUUUAUGGCAAACAUUUUUGCAUUGUUUAUUCCGUCCGAAAUUUGUUAAAAACAAAUAUGAAAACUUUCAACAACGGAUCUCUUGGUUCUCGCAUCGAUGAAGAACGCAGCGAAAUGCGAUAAGUAGUGUGAAUUGCAGAAUUCAGUGAAUCAUCGAAUCUUUGAACGCACAUUGCGCCUCCUGGUAUUCCGGGAGGCAUGCCUGUUCGAGCGACUUUAGAAAAACAUCAGACAAUUAAUGUUUGGUUGUGGGUCUGGAGGUGGGAACAACUGUUUCCCCUCCUUCCUGAAAUUAAAUGGCAAAUUGUCCGGUUUGUAUCGAAGCGUGAUAAGUUAAAACCUUUCGCUUUGCAAACCACUCACUAUCGCCUUCAACCUCAAAUUUUUUCCAGUCUUUGUCCUCGAAUCAGGUAGGGAUACCCGCUGAACUUAAGCAUAUCAAUAAGCGGAGGAAAAGAAACCAACAGGGAUUGCCUUAGUAACUGCGAGUGAAGCGGCAAAAGCUCAAAUUUGAAAUCUGACGUAUUUUGCGUCCGAAUUGUAAUUUGGAGGGGCAUCUUCGAGGUUGGAACCACGCGAAGUUCCUUGGAACAGGUCAUCAGAGAGGGUGAGAAUCCCGUGCCUGACGUGGUUAUCCGCUUCAUGUGAAGUGCCUCCGACGAGUCGAGUUGUUUGGGAAUGCAGCUCAAAAUGGGUGGUAAAUUUCAUCUAAAGCUAAAUAUUGGCGAGAGACCGAUAGCGCACAAGUAGAGUGAUCGAAAGAUGAAAAGCACUUUGAAAAGAGAGUUAAAAAGUACGUGAAAUUGUUGAAAGGGAAGCGCUUGAGACCAGACUCAGCCUUAGGCAAUCAGCUGUGCUUCUGUACAGUGUAUGAGCCUAGGUUGGGCCAGCAUCGGUUUUGGUGGCAGGAUAAAGGGAUGAGGAAUGUGGCUUCCUUUGGGGAGUGUUAUAGCCUUAUUCGAAAUGCUGCCUGC
rnacentral:rRNA from 1 species